rnacentral:lncRNA from 1 species
CAUCACCGCAGCACCUGCUGGGAGAGCUGGCCAGAAAAUGCCCAUCUUCAGUGCUCCAUUGAUUUACAGUAUAGCCAGGGGCAUGCUCCAACACACAUCAUUUACAAACAAAGCAUGUGUUUAGUGAGUCCGCCAGAUCAGAGGCCAUGAUGGAUUCUACGACUUGCUCGGGUCCAUCUGGCCCCACCUCCCAUCGGCCAUCGAGGGGUCUUCUAAGAACAGCAGGACCUUCUCAGCCAUUUCACCAGCUGUCAUCAUUGGCAGCUCUAUGGUGAAAAACAUCUCAGUUCCCAGGGCAAAAACCCUGUGCUAUCCUGGGGCACAAGUACAGGACAUUACAAGGCUGCUUUCUAACAUUGUACGACAGCUGCCGGGGGCUGACUCUGUCGUAGUCCAUAUGGGGUCAAAUGACAUUAGGAGGGCUAGCUAAGAACUGCUGAAAAUUGACUUUUAAACAUUAACCCAUAGCCUACAAUUUCUACGCCCCCGCGGAAAUCUAAUUAACACAAUUAAAAAUCCCUAUCAAAAAUCGAUCUUUUUAAGUUGGUUAUAUUUUUGUUGUUGCAUGGGCUGCAUCUCAAUCCACCUCAUCUGCCGAUAUUGCCCUGCCACAUCUGCGGUGAAAGGUAGACAUAGCUAGAGCGGUGUUUGUCAGACCAUGAGACAUCCAGAAAAUUGUUCUUGUCACAAAAAUGUCUGUAGCGUUCGAACGUUUUGGCCUACAAAGUAUUAUGACUACUAUGUUGGAAGAUGAUCUGUUUUGCUCAAGGAUGCCCACAAG